GGUUUACUUAGUACGGCGAGUGAGCGGUAAAAGCUCAAAUUUGAAAUCUGGUACUUUCAGUGCCCGAGUUGUAAUUUGUAGAAUUUGUCUUUGAUUAGGUCCUUGUCUAUGUUCCUUGGAACAGGACGUCAUAGAGGGUGAGAAUCCCGUUUGGCGAGGAUACCUUUUCUCUGUAAGACUUUUUCGAAGAGUCGAGUUGUUUGGGAAUGCAGCUCAAAGUGGGUGGUAAAUUCCAUCUAAAGCUAAAUAUUGGCGAGAGACCGAUAGCGAACAAGUACAGUGAUGGAAAGAUGAAAAGAACUUUGAAAAGAGAGUGAAAAAGUACGUGAAAUUGUUGAAAGGGAAGGGCAUUUGAUCAGACAUGGUGUUUUUUGCAUGCACUCGCCUCUCGUGGGCUUGGGCCUCUCAAAAAUUUCACUGGGCCAACAUCAAUUCUGGCAGCAGGAUAAAUCAUUAAGAAUGUAGCUACUUCGGUAGUGUUAUAGCUUUUUGGAAUACUGUUAGCCGGGAUUGAGGACUGCGCUUCGGCAAGGAUGUUGGCAUAAUGGUUAAAUGCCGC
rnacentral:rRNA from 1 species